AACAAAAUGCCUGAUAAAAGGGUUACUUUGAUAGAGUAAAUCAUGCGGCUUUACCGUUUUUGUUA
rnacentral:tRNA from 1 species